rnacentral:rRNA from 1 species
UUGAACGCUGGCGGCAGGCCUAACACAUGCAAGUCGAGCGGUAACAGAAGGUGCUUUGCUACUUUUCUGACGAGCGGCAGAGGGGAGAGUAGUGCUUGUGAACAUGCCUUGAGGUGGGGGACAACAGUUGAAAACGACAGCAAAUACCGCAUAAUGUCUACAGUCCAUAUGGGGUUUCAGAUCUCGCCUUUAGAUUGAUCCAAGUGUGAUUAGCUAGUUUGUGAGGGAAUGAAUAACCAAGGCGACUAUUCCUACCUGGUUUGAGAGGAUGAUCAACCACACUGGGAGUUACAGACGAGCCCAAACUCCUACCGAAGGCAGGAAUGGGGAAUAUUGCUCAAUGGGCGCAAGCCAUGAUGCAGCCAUGCCCCGUGUGUGAAGAAGGACUUCUUGUUGUAAAGCAAUUUCAGUCAGGAGGAAAGGAAAUUACUUAAUACCUAUCGAUCCUGUGACGUUACUAGCACACGAAGAAACACCGGCUAACUCCGUGAC